rnacentral:rRNA from 1 species
AACGAACGCUGGCGGCAGGCUUAACACAUGCAAGUCGAGCGCCCCGCAAGGGGAGCGGCAGACGGGUGAGUAACGCGUGGGAACGUACCCUUUGCUACGGAAUAGCUCCGGGAAACUGGAAUUAAUACCGUAUGUGCCCUACGGGGGAAAGAUUCAUCGGCAAAGGAUCGGCCCGCGUUGGAUUAGCUAGUUGGUGGGGUAAUGGCCUACCAAGGCGACGAUCCAUAGCUGGUCUGAGAGGAUGAUCAGCCACAUUGGGACUGAGACACGGCCCAAACUCCUACGGGAGGCAGCAGUGGGGAAUAUUGGACAACGGGCGCAAGCCUGAUCCAGCCAUGCCGCGUGAGUGAUGAAGGCCUUAGGGUUGUAAAGCUCUUUCACCGGAGAAGAUAAUGACGGUAUCCGGAGAAGAAGCCCCGGCUAACUUCGUGCCAGCCGCCGCGGUAAAAC